GUGUCUCAAAAAACGAAAAUAUAAAAUGCAUUUCACCACAGACUACACAAAAACGUGCCCUUGUUUAAUAAGGAUGAAAAAUAAUGACAAUGUUACGCGCUGAACUGUUUGCAACAGUGAUUUCAGCAUUGCUCAUGACGGUUUAAACGACUGUAAAAGGUACGUCCAGGAAGGCUCACAUCCAACCGAACACUGUGACCCCAGAGCUAAGCUGACAUGUACCCAAACACCCUGAUCGCAGAGGCAAGCUGCGGUCUACCCAAACACGCAGACCCCUCAGGCUGCCCCAGUACGUCUAGGUGGUGACAAUCCAUCCUACAGGGUUGACAUGAUGUGCUUUCCUGAAGCACACAAAGGACACCUCGGGUUUUAUGAAAGUGUAUGAUGCUGUUUUAGCCCGACCCUUGUGCAG